rnacentral:lncRNA from 1 species
UUUGCUUUGAAAAAACACAUUGAUAGUGCAUCCACGGCUCUCUAGAUAGAUUUUUAUUUUUUUUAGGUGAUUAGCAGUUGAUAUAUCACUGGUUCUGCUGUAAGGGGUGUGACGAACAAACCCAAGGACUAGGCGGAAGAGGAGGGGUGCAACAACACAUCCUUGAAUUCAAAACCUACCCAGCUAACAUUCAAGAAAAGAAAAUAUCAGCACAAGAAAAAAUAAUAAUAAUAAAAACAAAAAAAGAACCUCAAAAAAUUAUGCCCCAUUUGUGGGCACAAACAAAUAUGAGAUGCGAUUGCUGAGACUCAGGCGAGGCCAUUUGUGGCUGUUCAAAAAACGCAACGCCUGCAGCAUCAAAUAUGGUCAUUACUCAACAUCAAUUGUAAAAUAAAACGAGGAUAAAAAGCAGUAUUUUUAAUGUCCACUUGGUAAUAACAGAGCAUAGGUGAAGCUAUUACACAUUUCAUAAAUCGAGGGUCAGUUCAAAUAUUUUGACUUUAUCGAUCUAUCAGUGUAAAAGAUGAAAGCUUAAUUUGGUAUGCCAUAACUUCUAAUUGAAUAUUUAGUUGUAUCUUUCUUGAAAUGAAUAUAAGAUUAGUACACAAGAAAUUCAUGGGUUUUGCAUUUCUUGAGGGAAAGAAAGCACAUUUAAGCUUGGAAAAGUGAUGCGAACUGCAGCAAAACCAUCUUCAACCUCAACCAAGCUAAAAGCUCCACAAAUGCCACCAACAACCUGCACAUCAUUUCCUCCACAAAUGGUAUCCGGAGGAUUCAGCUCUUAUUUUAUUCAACUGUAUUAUCUUUUUAGGUGAAGCAAAGCAAGGGCUUGUGAGAACAAAGAAAAUAAAAUAAAAUCCAAUUAAAAUGCCGGCGGAAGUCAUCAAUUCCCUAAAGAGUAGUACCCACAGACAAUGCAGGAGAGGGAAUAAACUGGCAAGAAUGUGUGAUCUUUGAAUGAGCUCCAUGGCGUGAAUCUUGCAUCUCAAGGAGAGAGAUGUGUCCUGUUCGUGUUGAUGGAGAACGGACUAAGUCCUUCCUCCUUAGGCUCUUGCUCAACAAAGCUCUCUGCUUCAGCACAUGGCAAAGGAGUACCAAGAAAUACACAAUGCUAGAACAACAAUUUUUUUCUUCUACAUUUAUUCAAUUCCAGCUCUUUCGAAAUAUCGGACAGAUUAAAUUUCUACAAAAGUAGAACCCCACCAAAGCAUCCUGUAUUGGUUUUCCAACAAACAACCACCACUCCUAAAAGGAGAUCUCGACCACACAAGAGCUCCAUCUCUCAUGCCCCCAGCACUUCCUUAUUGCCAAAUUUGAUGCAUAUUGAGCCUUGGAGGUUUAUUCUAAAAGCUACAGACAACAAUUAACUUGUCAACCAUCUAACCAUGAAGCCUCCGAUCCUCAGCCGGUGACUGUCAGGAAAGCCCUACUUGAGUCAAACUAGAGCUUCAGCUCUGCCUGAUCAUCCACCUUAUCCAGUUGUUACCAGUCAAUCUCAUCCAUUUUGGUAGUAUGUCGCCAAUCCUAAUCUUUGGCACGUCUUUUUAUACUCACGCAUCUACUCAUCCUCAGUAUCGUUAAGUUUUGGAAGAGGAACUUGCUGCUCUAGUCUCUCAACCAGUUGCAGAACCUUUUUCUGUUUUUCUCUACCAGAAGCUGAGGAACUCAUUUGGAUGAAAAUUGGUUCUCAUAGCUCACUCUAUCUACAGGACACUUGUUUAUACAAUAGUAGAGCAUAGAAGGAGAAAUUUGUGAUGGCAAAGAUGACACUGAGAACCCUCAGUAUCUUAGCAACAAAUCAGUGUUAAUCUCCAGAUAGACAUAAAAAAACACGCUCCUCAAUGCCACUCUAAAAGAAGAAGUGGUUUACAUGAUAGGCCACAUAAAUCAUCAGAUCAUUCUGAUUGCAAGUUCUAUAAAUACAUUUUAUGGUCUUAAUCAGGCUCACUUGCAUCUGAUUUCAUAGACUCUGGCAUGAUGUGUGGACUGGCCUCUCGUGGUAACCAUGAUUACUCUCUGUACGAUGUGCCCCAAUGGGGAUAUGUAUGCUUCCAUUCUACAUCCAUGGGAUCUUGAUAUUGGGUAAGCAAAUGACAUUUAUACUUGAUUUUACGUCUCCCACUUCCUAGGUUUUGUGAUUUUUUGCAGUUCAUAAGGGUUUUGCUCUUCCUCAACAGUCAGCAGGUUCAAUUGGGAAUCUCAUGAUGUCAUGACCAUAUAGAGUGCACACAAUUCAUAGGUUAGUCAGUACAGGGCCAGUCAGUGUGAAGCAACAUCAUGCAGCUGUUCAUUGGAUUAUCCGCUAUAUAUGCAUGGUCCUAUAGACAAAAUUCUCAUCUUUAUCUUGAUGUUGACAAUUGAUCCUUCAGAGUACACACGUAAGUUUAUUAAGUUACCAAACCAUAGACCAACAGGCCACUGCAAGAUAUUUUGUGCCUAGGUCACUUGCCACCUCCUUGAUGACCAGGAGGAGUACAAAACAGGAUUUAAGUAUCCAAGUCAGCGAGAUUGUAUGGAUAUUCUACCACCAUUCCACUUCAUUGUGAUAUCCAAGUACCACCAGAUUGCCACAAACCUCAAUUUUCAGAGAGUACAACGGCUACCACUGCAUCCAUAUGACCAUGUUACUAAAGGGCCCAUGUUCUUUAAAUCCUUCCAGCAAACCAGGUGGUAGACACCCUCAUCAAAGCCAAGACAAGGAAGCAUCAUCAUUACCUAGUUGAUGAAUUGGUAUAUCCUUGUUAUUUUUGUAUCUCAAAAAAGUCCUAUGGGUGCUGAUGCUUCCUGCAACAAUUUUUCCAAAACAUUUGGCAGAUCAUUCCACCCUGAAGUAUCCUAAGCAAUCAAAGACACCUUCAAAAGACAAACUAUCAAGCGAAGCCUCAAUCCCUAAGAAAAAAGGUCUCCACUCCUUGAUUAAUUUUAGGCCAACUACCCUUUGCAUUGUCAUUUACAAAAUUAUUAUUUGCUAAUAGGCUAAAAUUAGUCCUCAACCAGAUCAUCAGCCCAUCCAAGAGUUUUCCCUUAAAGAGAGAGCAAGUCUAAACAAGCCUUAAUCGUUCGUGAACUUGUACAUGGUAUGGCUAACAACAAUAGUGAAAACCCCUCUUGCCUCAAGAUCAACCUUCAUAUGGCCUUUGAUAAAGUUAAUUGGGAUUUUCUCUUAAAUGAACUAAAAAGUACAGUUUUCUGGAAGACCUUCAUCAAUUGGAUUAAAAUGUGCCUAAAUGGAAUGCCUUUUUGUUACUUUGAAGGACAAAAUGGGUUAAGACAAGGAGACUCACUCUUUCCAUAUCUUUUAUAGCCAUGGAUACUUAGGCAAAGUCAAUGAAAGGAUACAAGAGAAGGGAGAUUUCAACUGCCUAAUAUCCUCUGGGUCACUUCCACUCCUUCAUACUUCAUGAAGACAAUCUUCUUGUUUUUGGAAAAAUUAACCCACAAACCUACCAAUCACUUAAAACUACUCUUGACCACUCGCAAAAACAUCUCCAGACCACAAAAAGACCUGUUCAAAACAAAUAUGUUAUACUUCCACUCCAACUCUGAUAAAACCAAAGUUAAACAAAAAUUUUACCUACAACCCCUCGGAUUUACCUUCACUUUAUCUUGAUCUGACACUAUUCAAAGGGAUACUCGCACCAACUUUGCCAACUGCUAUCAGACAAAUUCAUGUCUAGACUAAAUGGAUGGAAAAACUGAAACCUUUUCAUACCGAGAAAGUCUCACAAACUCUUAACUCGCCCUAAUUGCACUUCUUUAGUCUAUUGUGUUCAAACUUCUAGCACAAUCAAUUCCUUUGAAAAGCUUUGAAGGGAUUUCCUUUGGGCAGCCAUCUUAACCAAAAACACCCAAACCAUGUCUACUAAAAUCGGUUUGCAAACCAGAGAGUGAAGGAGGGCUUAAGAUCAAAAGAAUCCAGCAAAUCAACUUGGGCUUACAAGCGCAAGCUAGGACGGGAGUUGGCAAGUGGGGAAGAUUCUUUGUGGUUGACAAUAAUAAAUGAAAAAUACCUUUGGAGACACCACUUGUUGCAAGCAUAGUUAGCAAAUCGGGGAAUAAUAAACUAUCGCAGAUGAAACCAUCAAUAAUAGAUCGGUUUUAUUACAAAAAGUAGGAGGAAAGAAUCGGUCAAAAAUACGGAUCCCAAAAAAAAUAAGGUAAGUUAUAGAAUCGUGAAUAUUUCGGAUUUGGUUGAAAAAAAAGUAGUGAAAAAAUCUGAUCUGUAAAAAUGACACAAUAUAGGAAUAUGAUUUGCAGCUAUUAUAUAGAUAUAUUAAAGUCAUUAAACAAUAAUUUUAUAGCCUUACUAGUGUCAUUAGCUAAUACUUGACAAUUUUUGUUGAAACUUUCAAUAAAUCCAGCAACAAUGUUUACUCUGUUGUCACAACACAAAACGUAUCGUAGAUUUAUUGGGAGCAUAGAAUGAAACAACAGCAAUACUAAAUAAUUAGCAAAUAACAAAAACUGCGAACCAAGGUAUUGGAUUAUUUUUUAAAGAAAAACACAACACCCCCAAUAAAAAAUUGCAGUUAAUUAAAAGAAAAUGCUAAGACCCAAAUAUGUAAAACAGUGGUCCAUCCAAAAUGUUAGGUUGUAUAUACCAAUGAAAUAAAAAAUAAAAUGUGAAAUUAAUCACACUUCCCCAUGCAUAAAAAAAGUAACAAAAUGCUUAACCAAAUUCGAAUCUCGCACUGAAUUUCUAGCUACCUAAAUCAUUAGUAUCAUUGAAUCCCUCUCUGCUCUUUAUAAAGACACUAUGGGUUUAAUUAAGAAAACAUCUUCUUCUAAUUCUACCUAUUAUUUUGAGAUAAGCUUGUUUUGAUCACUUUGCAUGUAUUUUUUCAUACAAUAAUAUAGUUAAUGAAGAUACAAAGCUAUAGCGAAGAAUUUUUCUUGAAAAGUUCUAUAGAAAAAAGAUAAAAUAUGGAUUUAUAUCAGUUCCAUUAAAAAAAGGUGAUCUUUUAAGACCUUUUGAAAAACUCAAAGUUCUUAAUGGAUUUCAAAAAAUCGGAGAUUUUUUUAAAAAAUCGUGUUGUAAACGGAGACUUGCUAACUAUGGUUGCAAGUGGGGAAGAUUUCUUGUGGUUGACAAUAACAAAUGAAAAAUGCCUUUGGAGACACCACUUGUACGACUCUAAAGCAACAAGGAGAGAUGCAUGAGCUCACGAAAGCAUACUCUUGAUCACCGAAUAACAUAGACAGUAGUUAGAAAUAAUGAGGCAGAAGAAAUCAGUUGGAUGCCAUCACGAGAUAGAAACUUCUCCCUCUGAGUAUCCAUGGGGUAAUUAGAGAACAUGACGUUCGAAUUAAUGUCCCAAAAGUCAUAUAAGAAAGCCCAAAUCAUCCUAAGGCCUCCUAAUUCACUUGGUUGACAUACCAAAAUAGCCUAUUCACUAAAGAUAGGAUCCCAUGAUGGGGACUUCAAAUGGGAAAUAUAUGCUAAUUGUGCAAAACUAAAAGAGAGUGCCAUGAAUUUUGUCUAUUGCGUUUGCCAACAGUGUUGUGGAACUUCAACACAUACAAUAGUGGACUCCAAUACCUAGAAUGUCAUAGCAAACUGGUUCAAAAGAAAUUCUCAAACAAGUUCCUUAAUAAAAUCUCGAAGAUCUCUCUCUCCAUACCAGAAUAUGGGAGACUUGGGAAGAAAGAAAAUUGAGGGUCAAGAGAAUUAAAUCCAAUCCAUUCAAGCAAUAAUGAGAGAAAUCACAUGGAAAAUUCUAAAUUAAACCCUGAAUCCUCACAUAGAACCCCUAACGAAUGAUAGUAAGGAUCUUAUCUAUGAGAGAUGGGAAUUGUCCCUCCCAAACUAAGAACUUCGAGUAUGUAACUUUUCAAUUGUUGUAGUGAAAACAUUGUAACUUUUGAAGUGUUGUAGUGAGCACACUUGCACAUGGAGAGCUCGAUAGAACUCCUUACAUUCAGCCCUUGUACAUAUAUAUUUGCACAAAUUUCAAUAUAACUGGUGGGGUACCUGCUCAAACCCCUCAAUAACUUGGUGACAAGAAGGUAUAUUGUAUCUCUGCAUUUGUAGGACACUUUAAAGGGGCAUAUUAGUCAGUCAACAUCUGUCCAUGUACAAAAAAAUCUUCAGGAUUAUUUUGCAACAGUUGGAAUCAUUCGCAUUCUACAGAUUAAAUCAAUAAGAAGAGGUCAUAGCUCAGUUCAUUUGCAAGCUGUACAUAUCACAUCGCCCCCACCCCCCCCCCCCAACCCCACUUGGACCUCGUUUGGAAGGCCUCCAAUUCAAUUUUUUACCACAAUAUAAGACAUUUCGAUUAGAACAAAGCUCAGUUAAGGCCAAGGUCUGCAGGCCAACUUGGAAUGCAAUCAUGAAAAGGCCCUAAGACUUCUUUUUAGAGUUCUGGGAGAGUUAGAGGGAAAUUAUACAAACGUUCAAAGAGAUACAUUACAGUGCUUGCAUAAAAAAGGAUUCUUCAUGUCUUUUUUACUAGUGAGCUCUAGAGGCUACAUCAGUUAUGCUUGAAUGUGGGGAACAUGACCUUCAUUACCCACAUCCCCAAAUUCCAAGGAACACAAAUAAAGGAUUUUCUGCACAGUACUGGGGUCUGUAGCACAUAAAGGUACUUGCAGAGAAGCUUUCGUCUAAAGUCCCCUAGGGUUGAACUUGUCUUCAGAACCAUAGGGAGAACUUGCCCGAGACAGUGUUCCAAAAAGCAGACCGCCCAGCGCCUAGGUGGAUCUAGGGGCCUGGGCUCAUCGUCCAAGCCUAGAAGCCCAAAAACAGCAGUGGUCCCUAGGCGCCCAGGAAACCAACCGCCUAGGCUGCCGCCCAACACCCGCCCAAAGGAGAAAAUUGCUUUCGAUGGGAGAAUUUUUUGUCCAUUUGUUUUAUGCUAAAGGGCCAAAAAUUGAGGUUUUAGGUCCAUUUGAAACCUAAAACUUAUUGGAACCCAUUUUAGAAUCCCAUUUUAGAAAGAGAAAGCCCCCAAAAAAUUAGUUUUUUUAUGAUUUCUUUAGGCUCGAAGUAAUGAGAAAUUGAUCAAAACAUCACCCAUUGAUAUUAGAUUUAAUUUUUGAUGUUUUAUAAAUCUAUUGGGGGGUUUUUUAGAAGAUUUUGAGUCCUUAGAAGCAUCUUUGAAGUGAAAGUUUGGAGAUUGAGCAAUCAAACUCAAAAUAAGUGAUUUUUUUAUUGCUUGAAUAAAUUGCAUUAUUUUGAGAUAUCUUCUUCAGGAUCUAAUGGUAGUGAUCCCGAUUGGAAAUAUGGCUACAACCUAGAUCCUAAUAAUAAAAAUUGCAUAAACUGCAAUUUUUGUGAGAAGGUUACAAAAUGGGACAUAAACCAGUUCAAGAAACAUCUUGCCGGUAUCAAAGGGGAUAUUGCCCCAUGUAAAAAGACUCGUGAUGUUGUUAAAGAGGAAAUAAUCAAUUUUUUGAAUAUGGUAAAAAUGAAAAAAGAUAAGAGAUUUGCCUCCAUAGCAGAGAUUAGAUCUGGGGUUCAGGUCAAUUAUGAUGAUGAUGAUAGUGAUGAGGAUGGGAUUGGGAAGGGAUGUCAAGAGGUAGAAGUAGAACAAUCCAUUAUUAGGGAAAGGGAAAGGGAGUUGUAAUUGUUUCUGGUUUUAGUUUUGGGAGUAAGAAGCCUCGGGUUAGAGGCCCUAUAGAUAGUUUUUUGCCUCGUCCUGACCCUGAGGUUGGAGGAGAGAAAACAAAGAAGCAAACCACCGUUGAAAAUAGAAUGAAGAAAGAAGAGAGAGAUAGAGCUGCUUAUUAUAUUGCUACAUGGUUUUAUGAGGCGAGUAUUCCUUUCAAUACCGCUCGCUUAAGCAGCUUCUAUGCCGCAGUAGAGGCAAUUGGCCAAUUUGGGCUUAGGAUGAAUCCCCCAACCCCAUAUGAGCUUUCAAAGCCUCUUUAGAAAACUGCGGUGAAUGUCAUGAAGGAAGCUGUAGAAAUUAAGAAGGACGCAUGGGCUCAGUAUGGGGUUUCUAUUAUGACUGAUGCUUGGAGUGAUAGGAGGAGAAUAAGUCAGAUGAAUUUUCUUGUGAAUUGUCCUCUAGGGAUUGUUUUUUUGACGUCUAUUGAUGCAUCUAAUCAUAUCCAUGAUGCCCAUUACAUAUUCCAAGUUUUAGAGAAGGGAAUCAAGGAGGUUGGAGAGCAUCAUGUUGUAUUGGUUGUCACAGACAAUGCUGCUCCUAAUGUUGCUGUAGCUAAUUUGUUGCGCAUAGCUAAUCCUAGAAUUUUUUGGACACCAUGUGCAACACAUUGUAUAGACCUCAUGCUUGAGGGUCUUGGCGGUUUGACCAAGAUAUUAGGUGCAGUGAAGAGGGCAAAGUCAGUUACAAAUUUCAUUUAUGGCCACCAUCUCACCCUCAACAUGAUGCGUAGAUUUAUAAAGAAGAAAGAGAUUGUGAGGCAGUGAUUCAAAAAGCAAACCGCCCAGUGCCUGAGCGAUCCAGAAGGCCUGGGCGCAUCGCUCAGGCCUAGACAGCCAAUCUGGGCGGCAGUCCUUGGGUGGCCGCCUAGGCGGGCGCCCAGCGUCCAGCCCAGGGCCUGCACCCCGUCUUGGCGAUACAAAACCUGCCUAGGGGGGCACCCGCCUAGAGGUGGAUUUUUUUUUAAUAUAAAGGGUUAGAAUGAUGGUUUUAAGUCAAUUUGAAACCUAAAACUUACUGGAGUCCAUUUUGGAGAGAAAAAACCUCCAAAAAACUAGUUUUUGGUGAUUUCUUUAGGGUCGAAGGGUUUCUCAAAGUUGACAAAAAUUGAUCAAAACAUCACCCAUUGAUAGUAGAUUUAAUUUUUGAUGUUUUAUAAAUCUAUUGGGGGUUUUUUAGAAGAUUUUGAGUCCUUAGAAACAUCUUUGAGGUGGAAGUUUGAAGAUUGAGCAAUCAAACUCAAAGUAAGUGCCCUAAAUACCUAAUUUUUAUUUUUUAUACUAUAUAUCCUUUUUUUAUUCAAAUGGGCAUCCUUUUUGGAUUCGACUGGGCCGCCCAGGUUCUGUGCACCCGCCUAAGCACUGGGCGGCCUGAACCCCCUAGGCAGCCUAGGACCCCCGCCUAGCGCUUUUUGAAACACUGUUGUGAGGCCUGGGGUCACGAGAAUUGCGACCUGGUACUUAUGCCUAGAUAGCAUACAUUCAAGGAGAGUGCAGUUGAGGCAGAUGUUUACCUCGGAUGAUUGAAGAACAUGCAAGUGGUCCAAGCAUCAAGUUGGGAAGAAGGUAAGAGAUAUUAUCCUUUCUAAGGCUUUUUGGCAAAGGGUGAAGGGCGCCCUUAAAGUAUUUUUUCCUCUUGUCAAAAUCCUUCGCAUGGUUGAUAGUGACAAGCCUUCUAUGGGCUAUAUAUAUGAGGCUAUGGAGAAAUGCAAAAGAGAGAAGCCCAAAAUUUUGAUGAUGAUGAGAACUGCUACAAGCCUGUUUGGGAGAUUAUUGAUGAGAAGUGGGAUAGGUAGCUACAUUGGCCAUUGCAUGCCGAUGGUUAUUAUUUGAACCCAGCUUUUUUUUAUGUUGACAAGGAUAUACACACAAAUGACACAAUUAUGACUGGAUUUAAUAAGUGUGUAGAUGUGCUAGUAGUCCCUGAUCCUGAUAUCCAGGAUAUUAUAUGCGCUAAUGAGCUGAUAAAUUACAAGUGCUUAUUAAAGUCUUUUGGGAGUCCAAUGGCAAUGAGGCCAAGGACCAAAAUUGAUCCAAGUAGUAAUAAUAUUCUUAAGUUCAUCAAGUUCAAGUAAUCAAGCUUCAUUUUUAUAACUCUAUUAUUUAUUUAUGAUUUUAUUCUAUAUCUUUGCAGUCAAUUGGUGGAGCCAACACGGGUGUAGUUCUCCAAAUUUACAAAAGUUGGCCAUUUGGAUCUUAAACCUAACCACUUCUUCAUCCGAUUGUGAGCGCAAGUGGAGUACUUUUAAAGGGGUAAGGCCGUAAGGGUAAUUUGUAUAAUUGUAUUAAUAAUACAUGAACUAUAGAUUUUAAUUAGUUUCAUUUGAUUUUGUUAGAUUCAUACAAAGAGAAGGAACAGGCUUGAAUCAAAGAGGCUCAAUGAUCUAGUCUAUGCCAAGUAUAGUCGAUUCUUAAAGGAUAGGUUUGCUAAGAGAGAUAAGAUAAACCCCAUCAGAUCAAAAAAUAUGGACAAUGCUAUGGAGUGGUUAGUUGAUGAUGAUGAGGUCGAGGGGCAUGAAGGAUUGAAAUGGGACAUGGUCAUGGAUGCUUGAAGGACAUCAGCUGACCAUCCUAGGGCCACUAGAUCUUCGGCACAGAGAACAAGGGUGGAGGAGGAAGAAGAGACAGAUUCAGAAGGGACAGAGGAGGCCGACCAAUAUAUCGAGGAGGGUGACAACUCCAAUGAAUAGAAUACUAAUGCAGCUAACCCUAAUUUUUCUGAUGAUGAAUGAUGAAUGUUGAAUAAUUUUUAAACUUUGAACUUUGAUUGAACUUUUGUCUAUUGAAGAUUCUUUUGAGUCUUCAAGUAUUACUUUCAUUUUUUUUUUUUCCUCAUGGUGGUGUAAUCCUAUAAUGUGAUUUGUGGAUAGUGGAUCUGUAGUUCCACUGGUUUGGUACUAUUUUGUAACUUUGGUUUGGUAAUUUGGUUGGUUGGUAAAUUUUAAGUUUUAAUUGGAUAUGGAUUAUUGACCGACUUAUGGUUAUGCUUAUGGAGUGUGUGCUAAUGUGUAGUAUACUUUGAAUUCUGAUGUGCCCUAAAUACCUAAUUCUUAUAUUUUAUACAAUAUAUAACUGUAGUAUCCUUUUUGGAUUCAACUGGCCCAUCCAGGUUUUAGGCGCCUGCCUAGGCGCUGGGCGGCCUAGACCCCCCAGGCCGCCUAGGACCUGUCUAGCGUUUUGUGAAACACUGGCCCCAGAUAUAAAGUUCAGACAUUGUCUUAACUGCCUACGAGUGAACUUGGACCCAAGGUACAUGCAACCUACAUUCGGAAAGACUUCACAACCACAUAUGCUAGAGCUUUGCCUAAUUUCUAGAUGGUAUGUAUACGCUUCAAUAUGAAUUGGAGAGAAUGCCUAGUGGCUUGAAUGUCUAUCAUAUGCACUAUCUAUCUUCAUUUAUCUUCAAGUAUUCCAGCCACCAUUAUUCAACACCUCAUCACAGCUAAGAGGUCAAUUACAGGUAUAGCAGUUUGCAUGCCUCAUUUCCACUACACUAAGAAGUUGCAUGCUUCCAAACUCGUAUCAACUAUGGGUCGAUAUAGUGUAAAACCAAUGCCUACUAAUCACUGAUGCUCUUUCAUAAGAAAACUCUAUAAAUUGAAGCCUCAAGGCACUUGCCUGUUGUUUAAUAGUGGGACAAUGCGCAAUAUAGUUUAAAACCAGUGACCAUUAUGGUUUAGUGUUUGCACUGAGCCUCACCACCACUUUACAUUUUGGGCCACUAUUUAUUGUAGAACACAUUGCUAGCUCAUCAUUUAAUAAUACAAUAAAAAGCGGGAAAACUGCUUGCUCUCUAAGCUAACCAAAAAGUCCAAGUAACAAAAUGUGAAUACUCAUUUAUGUCUAUAAAUAAUGAAAUUACAGCAGCAUGCUGGGUAUCAUCCAUGAUACCUAUCAAACUCUAUGCAACACAAACAUAAAGACAACAUCAAUAAAAAUUUAAGAAAGGGAAAAAACCAAACAGGUUCUGGCUGCAUAAAAGAAAAAGCAUAUAAUAUCAUGUGACAAUCUCUUUACCUGAUAGGAACACAUGUUUAAAAUUAUGCAUGUUUCAGUGGCAUUGCUUAGAAUUCAGGGAUCCAAGCAAAUUACAAAGGCUAUCCUUAAAGCUUGCAUAAACAAUACAAUAGAGAAAGACUAAAUGAAACACAAAUUCGACUCGCUCUAAAUAUCCUUGCACUAGCUAUGAUGGAUGACUCUUCUUAGAAAAAAACCUAGGCAUCGUGUCUUUGUUGCUAGCAUAAGCUCUAACAAAGAACCUUGAGACAUUUUCUGAAGCUAUUCUUAAACCUUGCUGGAAUGGUACUUGGGAUCUUCUUUCCAUUCCUUGAGGAAAACAAAUAGGCCUGACCCAAUUAGUAUCUAAUCUGAGCAACCAAGCUGCAACUGUUCAGCCCAACAUUAGAUUUCCCAGUGUUUACAUUAGAUUUCCAAGCUUACCCAUAAAAAAAAGCUCUCUCCCUCUGUGUAAGUGUGUCGUUCGAUCAUGUCAGACCAUACAUCGCAUGCUAAUAUGUCCAUCAAAAGUAGCAUAGAUGCAGGAUAACAGAUUUGAAACAUGAAAAGCAAGUCAACACAAGUUUCAAAUAAAUUAUCAAAGAAAAUUUGAACUUUUGAACAAUGCUGCAUGUCAUAAUUUCAGUACCAAGCAUAACAACCAUGAGUUGGAAAAUAUCAUGUGUCCUUCCCAUAAAAGUAUUUAGUACACAUAUUUCAAAUUAAACAAACUUCUCCCAUAAAGAAUAUAAAUUAUGGGAAUCGGAUGUAUUUUACUCUUGACCAAUUUGAUUGCAUCCAAAUAUUUGUCUGCCAUUAAUUUAGACUACUGAUAUAAAACCAAGAAAGUACAGAAUAUAAAAUUUAAACAAGCUUCUUUCAUAAAGAAUAUAAAAUAUGGGAAUCGGAUGUAUUUCACUCGUGCCCAUUCUGAUUGCAUCCAAAUAUUUGUCGGUCAUUAAUUCAAACUAACGAUAUAAAACCAAUAAAGUUAAGAGCAUGUCAUAGAAGUUGUCACUUCAGCAGAGAAAAAAUAUCAAAGCAUCAAAGAGAAUCCACUUCACACAUAUUAACAAUCCCGUGUAAUGCACGAUGACUGAUAAUUAGAUCACAGUCACAAUAGUCACAAAUAAGGGCAAUGUAACUACAAGAUUUCCUUUUUGGAUAGAAGAAACACAAAUAGUUGGGAAUAGGGAUGAAUCUAAGGUCCCCUAAUAGGAAGUAUGGGUCAGAACUUUGCAGCACACAAUGAAAAUCUGGGAUAGUCUGCAUAGCAGUACAAGUUCAGUCAAUAAUUUAGGCUUCAUAUGCCAUGUCAUAGUUUCAUGCUUCUUACCCUAUUCACCCCGCACUUGACUAAGAACAGUACAACAUGAUGGAGAGCUUCAGGACAACUUUUCUUACAUAUUGUAAAAGAUGGACCAAGAGUGGCAGUUGCAAUUCCAGACCAUUCAUAUGACCCCAAGGCAAACAGCAGUGCAUUGACCACCAACACAUUCUCGACAUAUAACAAAAAUAAUGGAUUUUAAGCUCUUCUCAGAUAUAGCCUUUUCUAUAGGGUAAUGGAUGCUGUACAGAAAACCGCUUCGUUUUCUGAUCUUAACAGAUCUUCCAAGCCUCCACACUGGCAGAUAAGCCAUGAUGUGCAACAAUAAGGCACGACUAAAUAAAGGUCAUACUCUCAGAAAAACUGCAGAGAAUGCAGCCUAGUAAAUCUUUAAGUUCCGCUUAGGCAAUUGGUAUCCAAACCCAGGUUUUUCCUUUCUGCCUUGUGUCUUUGCUAUUCCAGGCCAAAACAUGGGUAGAAUGUUAAAAAGGAAAAACCACAUCCGCACUGUUAUAUUAUUCCAUCAUAUGGCAGUAUUCACUAAGAGGUUCCGCCUGCCCCUUUUUUAUCCAACUUAACCGAACCGAAUAUCAGUUUUAUUUUUUUUUAUAUUUUUUGAAGUUUAGGACUAUAAGAUGGGGGGUUCCCAUCUUGGAGUAAGUUCGAUGUUUCAAACAUCGAACCGUCCUCUAAGUUGGGUAUUGUUAGGCUUUUUAGGUUGGUCCGAUGUUUGAAACAUCAGAUCGCCUUAAACCUUCAAAAAUGAGAUUAAAAUGCGGUCCCAUGUUAUAAACAUAGGACCGCCUUUAAAUGUCCUAAAUAUAAGGUUCGGACCGCCUUUAAACCAUGUUUUUGGAAGAAAUAUUCAAACCUUGUUAAUACAUAUUUUUGAAGGUUUAGAUUGCCAGAUAAAUGCGAUGAUAGCACAUGGUGGGGGACACUAUAAAGAAGAAAACAUUUUUAGAAAAUGACAUGUCGCUUAAACUUUUCCUUACAAAUGUAAGCCUCAAGUGAAUUGUGCGGCUUAUAUUUGGAAGUUUUCAAAUACAUGUUAACAAGGUUUAAACCUUGCUAUCCUAUUUCUUUAAACCUUCAAAGUACCAUUUUUUUUAAACCUUCCAAAAAUGAGGUUUAAAGACAGUCCGAUGUUUGAAACAUCAAGCCACAUUUUGAACCUCAUAUUUGAACAUUUAAAGGUCGUCCGAUGCUUAUAACAUCUGACGGCAUUUUUUAAGGUUUAAGGCAUUCAAAACACUAAUUUUUUUAAUGUUUAAAGGCUGUCCGAUGUUUAUAACAUCCGACCUCAUUUUUUUAGGUUUAAGGCGGUCCAAUGUUUCAAACAUCAGACCAACCUAGAAAAUGAAACAAUAUUGCAACUUAUAGGGCAGUCCAAUGUUUGGAACAUCAAACCUACCCCAAAAUGGCCCCCUACCUUACCAGUCAGUCCUAAACUUUAAAAGAAAUAAAAAAUAAAAUUAAUAUUCAGUCUGAUGUUUGAAACAUCUGACAGGGGGGGGCAAAGUUGGGAAACAAAAGAAAAAAAACACAGGCAAGACCUCCGCAUAAAUACUACAUAUUUUUGGACAUUUCUGUUAUAAUAGAAAAAUAUAAUGGUAAGGACAUAAUUUUUCAUACAAAAGUAUACUAUGCUUGCUCAAUUUCCACUUACAUAGAUGGACAUUUAUAGCAGAAACAUAGGCACAACUGGCAAUCCCCAAAUAUUAUAUUUCUAUUUAUACAUAUUAUUUAAUACUUUAUCCAUCCUUGAAGUAUCUAGUACAGGUAUCAGUGUUCGAUCAUGUUGAUGCAUGUAUUUUAGUAGAAAAAAAGCAUUCGAGUAUCUUGGCCUAAACGCCUCAGAGUGCUACAAAUCAACACUAUAUCAAACACAUAUUUAAGAAUACUGAAACUUCAAACAAAUUUUAAAUGCCCCUAUGUAGGUGCAAUAGUUAAGAGAACUCACAAUAACAUAUUGUGAUACAAAGAAUUUGGGACACAUACAAUGCAUAGGCGUACCAAGAUUCAAGAGAAAUUGAAAACCGGUUGCCCCAGCACAAAAUGCAAAAGCCAAAGGAACGAACAGGUGUCAUCAUCUACUUGCAUAAGCUAGAAAAGCUCAAAAAUUUUGUAAUGCUUUGAAUAAGCCCAGGGACUUUUCAUGCCCAGAAAGAAACCAACAUGGGUUGCCAACCAUCAAGACAUAGCUACCAUGUACUCAUUCUAGUAAUGGGACAGCAACUAAUACUGCUGAUUGUUCGCAAGGGUGUGAAAAGUUAAACGUGCCUUUUUGUAGAAAAUGUAUAUUGAUGCAGCUUUUAGAAAAAGAUUGUUUCAGGUUCCCAGGCAACAGGGAAAUUUCUAUUAAUAUGAUCCUAGAAAUGAGACCGUAUACAAAAUUCAAAAAUAAAAUAAAUAAAAUAUUAGAAAUGUUACAUAUAUUAUCUGAUAAUAAUAUGAUAUGGAUUUUUACAAGAUAGCAAACACGCAUCAUUUUUACAAGAAAAUUUGCAAAAUAUUAGUAGAAUUGCAACCAAACUGCACAAUAUUGAUAUAAUUCGAUGGAAAAUUUGCACAAAUCUGGUAAAAACUUUUGAGAACAUUCCUAAAAAGUUUUGUAUCCUUUUUAAGUCCUAGUAUGGAGGGGGUCUUACCAGAAAAAGGGUUUUAGGUAACAUAAUAGGGAUGGGCAUGGGCAAGCCUGGCCCGAUUCAGGCCUAGUCAUCAGGCCUUGACUAGGAUACCAGCACAAUUGGUGACCGAGCUGGGCUUGGCUUGACAACCCCUUUGUGGCACAGCUGCUUGAUUAAAGAAAAAAAAUCUAACAAAAUGGUGAGGUUCGAUCUUGAGUAAAAGUGAGAAGAUUAUAACACAAUAACAAGUCAAGCCAUCAUUGCUUUGUGUUUAAUGUCUAAAUUUAAAUAAAUAUAUCAUCUUAUUACACCAAGUACUGUUAUCCAGAGAUAAAGUUAACAAGCUGAUGUUCAUUAGGUCCAAGAUUCUUAGCCAUGUACAAACGAGCCCCACUACAGGGACUUCAAUAAGCAGCAUAUUCAAUUGAUACCCAAUUAUCUCAAAUGGAGAUUGAUUCCAUGGUGGGAUUUAUACGGCUGAAAUCAAUGCAAUUGAUGGAAUCCAAUAAGAGCCAUGCAAUGAAGAGAAAGAAACUUUAUUCUAAAAAACCAGAGAACCCAACUUCAAAACCUCUCCUUGCUUGUUGUCAUGAAACACUUCCGAGAGUAGGAUUAGGGUAGAUUUUCUAGGCAUUUUAAUUAAGAAAGAAACAACAGAUUGUCAGAAUGGAGCCAUUGUUUGAGAGGAGUGGAACCUGGGCUCUAGUUUUGUUGGUUUGAUGAAUGAGAAGAAGGAAGUUUUCUAUGGGGGACUCCAUGGCCAGAGUUCCAAGUGAUAGCUAUGUAAUUCUCUUUACAUUGAGAUUGCAUUUUCUGAGAAGAAUAAAUCAAGUCUAAUGGGUUUUUUCACCUUUUUGAAGGUUUUGGUUAUGGAGAGAAGGGUAAUUAUGGGAGACAUGGAAAGGAGGUUGCUGCAAUUGCAGAAUCUGCCAUCUUUAAUACUAGAGAAAGAGAGAGAGAGAGAGAGAGAGAGAUCAAAGGCCAAACAAAUUGGAGAGAAUGAAUAACUGGGAUGCAAUAAAAGAUCAAUGGCCCUGUUAUUUUUUAAAACCAACUUCAAAACCUCAAACCUACCAAUACUGGGUGGUUUCUCUCUUCCGGAUUCCCAUUAUUGGGUUCUUAUUAACAUUAAAAUUCUAGAAAGAGGGGAGAGAGAAAAUAUGGAAAGGGGGGUUCAGCUAACAAUAGUUCCACAUCGGAGAGAAUCUAGGAUUUAUGGGCUCAAGUGCUACAAAGAGGGCUCCUGAGAUGUCAAUUGCAAUCAAACUUAUAACUAGAUUAGCUUUGUCAGACUGGACCUGGGCCUCUCAAGACUCAUUCGAGCAAGGUUCAGGCCUGGCCCAAUAAGGAAUUGGUACUGGGUCAGGCCCAACCCUAUAAAAUAUUUCUCAAACUUGAGCUAUCAAACAAAUUGUAAAAGACUCUCGAAGCCUUGUUAUAGCUAAAAUGUGUCUAUCCAUUCAAUGAUGAAGACCAUUCCCAACUCGUUAGUAAAGUUAAAAUCACCUAUCAAUCAAAGGAAUAGAAAACAGUAUAAAUUUUCAAAUAUUUCUCCCACAAAAUUUUCUUUUCUUUUCUUUUUUUUUUUAUUUCUUUUUCUUUGGAUUUGGGGGCGGGGGGUGGACAGAGGGGAGGGGGGUUAAAUUUUUACUUGGGUCCUGGUCAGAAUAGAACUCUAGACAUCAUAUGGUGGAUGCCACCCUGACCACCUCUCCCUAAAGCCCGUUCACCUCCCAAGACAUUGUCCUAAUAAAUAGUAUAUUACCACAGAAUUUCGAAGGCGAACUUGUCAUCCUGGCAACUACCAAGGCAAACAACAGCAGGAAAGGCAUCCCUAGAAAUUGCUAAAGCAGCAAAGUAGGCUAGUCCCAAGUUGCUUGUGCUAAUAAUGACCUAAAAACCUCUACAAUACAAAAUAGAGGUCAUAAUGACAUGGCAACAAUAGCAUAUGACAGUAUAUCAUUUCUUGCAUUAAAUUUAAUCUUUCGCAGGAAUGAAGUAUACACAAUAUGCAAAUAAUGUUAGUACAUACUGAACUACUUAUUAAAGAAAAGGCAGAUUACAUGUUCUCAUUGACAACACCUCUAGUAUAACAUACCCAUAAACAUGGAUCAAUCCAAUAAAUACAGAAGAAAUUUAAUGGUGAGAAACAUGAUACAAAUAACUGACCUUAUUAGAACAAUUAGCAUGAGAUAUGCACUUGGAUGAUUAUCCAAAAAUCAGAGUCCCCUAGAUGAUCCACUAGGCCAUAUCCAAUAGAAAAUUGUCUCUAAUGGCACUCCUAGUCCUGCUCUUGCAAGAGCUUCUUUAGGAGCCUCUGUGAAUACAAAUGGACUUACUCAAAUGUCCAUACAAAAAGCUGUCAAAGGUUCAAGGACAACACUUUAAUAUGAACACAAAAUUUUCGAUUAAAAUGUUCAGUUUUUUGGCAAAAGAAUAUCCUUUUCAUAAAGCAAAUUUUUCUCAAAAGGGCCUUCUUUCCAAUGGAGUCAAAUUUUCCUUUAAAGCAGUCUCCAACUCGAGAAUGACAAAAGGGAAUCGUCAAUUGGCAAGCCAGUAUAGAUACUAUGCCACAGGAUGGAUACUUAUUUGUGGAUAAUCAUCACAUGGGUGAGGUAAAAAACUGACUUCUUCAUAAGUCAGUUCAAACGUUUAUUUCACACUAUUUUCAUGAUUUAAAUUACCAACUCCAAACCAUAAAGAAAUGCGGGAAACAAGAACGUCAACAACUGUACACAAUAAUUUUAAAUCCAAUUCAAUGUAUUGCAGUAUCAUAAUGAUCUAUUGAUCUGACAAUGAUCCAAUUCAAUUUAUAACAGCCACUGAUACUUAAACAAUAGUUGUUGGGAUCGGGAGGGGACCAUGAAAGGUUAGAAGAUUUCGUGGUUAGGAGCAUUGUCCAUGCAUUGCAUAUGUUAGGGAUCGAGAUCGCUAAAUGUUUGGAUCUCGAUUGCAACCCCAAUGCGAACCUUUUGGGUUCUUGAUCCUAACCUUUUGGAGAUCUUUCUGCAAACUUUGAAAAGUACAUAUAGUAUAGAAAUAUACAUGCUCUUAAUGCAGAGAUCUCUUUAUUUAUAGCCAGCAAACAAUGCAACUAUAUUAAAAGUAUAAUUGCAAUCUAGCAUGGAAAUCAUCAUUUUGGUUAUUAUCUUGGUCUUUAGGUGGAGAUCGAGAUCCCUAACAGUGGCCAUUGAGAUCCAUAACAGGAGGGAUCAAGAUCCUGAAUUUAAAAAUCGAGAUCCUUUGAAGAUCUCAUUCAUGAAAAGCGGAAGCGAGAUUCCGAAGCGGGAUCACCAUCUAGAAUGGAGAUCACAGCAACUAUGGCUCAAAUCAUUUCUUAUUGUUUCCACGAGUCAACUUGAUCUAUUCUUUCCAUCUGAAAGAGCCCAUUAAUGCUGAAAAGAAUUCAACCCCCAAUAGAAAAAUCCAAUCAUAGACCUAGCGCAGUAAGUAUUUAGUCAGCACUAUGAUCAACCUCAUGUUAACGGUAAUAAAACAAUAUUUGAUAACUAUUGUAGCACCUGCUCCUUUGACCAUCUUACAUGGAAGAGAAGUAACAAUCCAAAUAUCGUAGAUGUGUGAUCCAUCAGGUAAGUCAUGAUUCACUGUUGCAUUAAGAACAUGAACAGAUUAGGAGGUUCUCGUGAAAAAAAUGAAGAGGGAUAAGCCCUUGAUCACAUAACAAUAUAAAAUCUAGCAAAGUAAAUUUAAUAGAGAUCACAACAUAACCUGUGUUAGUUGGCUUCGAUAUUGGGAAUAUUGACUCCAAAUUUCAUAUUAAUCACCACAAAUUUUUAGGGCCAUGCUCCCCAUAGUAGAUUCAAGAAUGCAAUUGAUGGCAUUCAUACCAACCAUGCAAAAUAUACACAAUCCAGGGGGGGGGGGGGGGAAACAAAUUAAUUACAUCUGGAAUGUGUAAAUAAGCUCUGCUUUCAAAUGACCCAUCAUCAAAAAUAUAAUGGCUGAUGAUUGAUGAAAUGAAAUCAUCACAAGUCCCAAUCUCGCCUCACCAUGAUUUAGCAGUUCAUAAGAAUGUAACAUGUUUUUAUCAAGUUGUGAAAAUAUUAGACAUCAACCAAAAAGGUCUGAACCCUGCAAUGAUUUUCCUUAAGUCUUCAUGAGAAGCCACACAAGGCUUACUUCAAUAAAAGGCUUACUUCAAUAAACAACAAUUAUAAAUGGGAUAUAUUCACCCAGAGAUCUAGGUGCCAGCAAAAGUUGCUCCAGUCAAAAGAAAUGGGAACCACCUAUCCUACAUCAGGUAUUCCCAAGGUAAGUCUAACAUCCAAUUCUCCACAUUGCAUUAGAAGUACAGAGAAAUUUAGUUCCUCAUAAAAAUUGCAAAGCAAGUCCAUGCACUCCAAACAUUGCAUUAGAACAAGGCCAAAAAUCAUUAUCCUCACAAAAGGUAUCCAUAACAUAACACUGGAACCUACAACUUACCAUCAAGUACGGAGGUAUAAGUUACAAUAUAAGAGCUCCAACCAAUAAGUGUGCACAUGAAUCAUAAGUAAAUCUAUUAAAAUGACGAAGUAUAAAAUAGAUCUGGUAAAACUUCUGCAUCUUGAAGCAUUCAAACUUCAAAGGCCCAAAUGUUUCCUCAAAAUCAUAUAAAAUGGAGAAGAAUAUAUUCAGAAGUCAAGAUAAGCCCAAGCCACACAUCUCCUAGAAACAGUAAACCGAUCCCAUAUGUACUCGUGUUCCAAACUCCUAUCCAUGUUAAUUUCACAGAUCAAGAAUAAAUGCUUGUCAAAAAGUUGAUGAAUUAUGUUUCACUUUGCCAUGAUCACUUAUACAAAACUUCUAGCCAGAUCCCCAGGUAUACUCUCUCAUGAUCAAUGAGAUCUCUUAUUUCACUUUUUAGGUAUUUAAAACAAGCCAUACUAACUUGAUAAAGGUAUAUCUGACUUCGGGUGAUUAUUAGUCUCCCACUUAGCCCUUUCAAUUGCUUUUGUGAAGGUAAAGCAUAGAUAUAUAACUACAAAACCCGAAAAAAAAAGAAAAGAGUAACAUCACCAUAGAAUG